rnacentral:lncRNA from 1 species
GGGUGGAGCACAACGUCGAAAGCAGCCGUUGGGAGCCCAGGAGGCGGGGCGCCUGUGGGAGCCGUGGAGGGAACUUUCCCAGUCCCCGAGGCGGAUCCGGUGUUGCAUCCUUGGAGCGAGCUGAGAGCUCGAGAUCUAAAGCUUAAGGACUAUGGAGUGGAUCUCAUUGAAGUUUCAGGCAAUGGAUGUGGGGUAGAAGAAGAAAACUUCGAAGGCUUAACUCUGAAACAUCACACAUCUAAGAUUCAAGAGUUUGCCGACCUACCUCAGGUUGAAACUUUUGGCUUUCGGGGGGAAGCUCUGAGCUCACUUUGUGCACUGAGUGAUGUCACCAUUUCUACCUGCCAUGUAUCGGCGAAGGUUGGGACUCGACUGGUGUUUGAUCACUAUGGGAAAAUCAUCCAGAAAACCCCCUACCCCCACCCCAGAGGGAUGACAGUCAGUGUGAAGCAGUUAUUUUCUACGCUACCUGUGCACCAUAAAGAAUUUCAAAGGAAUAUUAAGAAGAAACGUGCCUGCUUCCCCUUCGCCUUCUGCCGUGAUUGUCAGUUUCCUGAGGCCUCCCCAGCCAUGCUUCCUGUACAGCCUGCAGAACUGUGAGUCAAUUAAACCUGUUUUCUUCAUAAA